GGCAGUUUUGAGUGAUGUUACUUCUUUAAUAUUAAAGGAGACAUCAGUUAAAUCUGUGGU
rnacentral:pre_miRNA from 1 species